CACGUCUCUUAACGAGGCUCCGUGUCUUU
rnacentral:sRNA from 1 species